GUGUUCCAUUGUGAGUGUGUGUUUAUGUAUGUAUAUGUAUAUGUAUAUAUAUACACACACACACACACACACACACACACACACACAUAU
rnacentral:miRNA from 1 species